rnacentral:lncRNA from 1 species
AAGUAGACCACCCUAAGAACAAACAAACAUCAACCAAACAAAUAGCAGUUAACCGAUACCACUAUCAACACCAAUAUGGAAAAAGGUAAUCUAAACACAUGCCUUUCUUCUUCCUCUUUUUCUUUUUACAAGCUUUUGGUAAAUCUAAUUUCUUCCUAUGAGAGGAAUUCUUGAAUCCAUGACUGUUGGUUCCUGAGCUGUCUCUGACAAAUGUCUUGUGUCUCCAUUUGCCUGCUUCCAGCUCCCCCUCGACUCCCGGAACGACUUGAGAAGCUCGUCAUAGUCUGGGGUUCGCAACUCCUCUAUUGACUCCACACUUGGCAGGUCGAUCUGCCUUCUCCUUGGCGUCGAACACGAGGGUUCAUCCACCUGUUCAAUUUCAAGGUGCAGUGGCGAGUUCAUCAGUCAGAAAUAAAAGAGCACAUGCAUUAUCUUGACAUGUUUUAGCCUUUUCAUGACUGCUCACCAGAUACUCUUCCUCAAGGCAUUUCCCAGCGUUUUCACUGAUCUCCACAACCUUGUGGUGAUGCUCCCCCUUCAGCUCCCUCAUUUCCCCAUG